ACAGCCUGAUACAAUUAAGUGCUCAGGACUCGGCGGAAUAAUGACAUUACAAAAGAGACUCCUGGACUAGGAUCAAUGAUGCAGAUAGACUAUAUUCAUCUGUGCUUCUAUCCAUGCAUGCUUCCUGCCAGAUCUCCCUUCAGGACGAUGCAGUGGCCUCUGUUGCUCCAUUCCUGAGCUGUAAUGAAGAUAUUCUCUCAGUCAAAACAGCCCAUACAAAGCCUCAUUCCUCAGUUAUGGAACCCAACACCUCUCUUUCCUCUUGUGCUCUCUAAAAAAGGGAGAGUCCAGAGACAGACUGAGAGGCGGGGCCGACUUUAAGUGAAUGAAAUGUGGGCUGAGAACCUCAACAACAAAAAAAACCUCCAGAUCAGCUUACUCCAUUGACCUACAGGUGUGUGGUGUUACAACAACAAUGUGCUGCUCCUACAUUUCCUGCCACUGGAUCUACUGCGCGGGCCGGCCUGCAACUACAGGAAGGCGAGAGGGACAAAAAGCAACAAGCGUGGGAUUCCCAGAGGAGACAUGAAAGUUCGUUCCGCUGCAUGUUUGAGAUGCCAAACAUGAGUAAUUAAAUCAUCCUCAACAAGCACAGUAGCCCUCCCAUGGUAAUGGUCAGGGAGGGAAAAUGAGGCAUUUCAAUUUUGGCGAUUUGAUUAUGCUGUGAUUGAAAUCUUGUAUUAAGUCUUGUAUACUUUAACAUCUGACAUUUGGGGCAUUAAAAGGCUGAUGCUG